UGCGGAGGGUGCAAGCGUUGUCCGGAUUUAUUGGGUUUAAAGGGUGCGUAGGCGGCCUGUUAAGUCAGCGGUGAAAGACUCCGGCUCAACCGGAGCAGUGCCGUUGAUACUGGCAGGCUUGAGUGCUGCAGGGGUACAUGGAAUUGAUGGUGUAGCGGUGAAAUGCAUAGAUACCAUCAGGAACACCGAUAGCGAAGGCAUUGUACUGGGCAGCAACUGACGCUGAGGCACGAAAGUGUGGGGAUCGAACAGG
rnacentral:rRNA from 1 species